AUGUUGAAACCGAAAACAAAUGUGAUACGAUGCCGACCGAGGGAAUUUGUGGAAGAUGCUCCAGAUAUUGUUGUUGUUGUUGAACGGUGGAAGUAUCUACAGAGGGUUAGAGCUUUUGUUUUUGUGAGAAAGUUGACAGAGGUGGAGGAUGGAUGUUGUGGGUUGAACGGUUGGUUUGAUGGUGGAAAACAGGGGAGCAUUACGGAUUGGGCUCGGAGGUUUAAUGAGGAGAUGGAGCUGACAGCUUGCAUAAGGGGUUUGUGA